rnacentral:rRNA from 1 species
UACGUAGGUGGCAAGCGUUGUCCGGAUUUACUGGGUGUAAAGGGCGCGUAGGCGGGAGAACAAGUCAGAUGUGAAAUGCGGGGGCUUAACCCUCGAACUGCAUUUGAAACUGUACUUCUUGAGUAUCGGAGAGGCAGGCGGAAUUCCUAGUGUAGCGGUGAAAUGCGUAGAUAUUAGGAGGAACACCAGUGGCGAAGGCGGCCUGCUGGACGACAACUGACGCUGAGGCGCGAAAGCGUGGGGAGCAAACAGG